rnacentral:rRNA from 1 species
GACGAACGCUGGCGGCGUGCUUAACACAUGCAAGUCGAACGGAAAGGCCCUGCUUUUGUGGGGUGCUCGAGUGGCGAACGGGUGAGUAACACGUGAGUAACCUGCCCUUGAUUUUGGGAUAACUUCAGGAAACUGGGGCUACUACCGGAUCGGAGCUCCUCCUGCAUGGUGGGGGUUGGAAAGUUUCGGCGGGUGGGGAUGGACUCGCGGCUUAUCGGCUUGUUGGUGGGGUAGUGGCUUACCCAGGCUUUGACGGGUAGCCGGCCUGAGAGGGUGACCGGCCACAUGGGGACUGAGAUACGGCCCAGACUCCUACGGGAGGCAGCAGGGGGAAAUAUUGCACAAUGGGCGGAAGCGUGAUGCAGAAACGCCGCGUGCGGGAUGACGGCCUGCGGGUUGUAAACCGCUUUCGCCUGUGACGAAGCGUGAGUGACGGUAAUGGGUAAAGAAGCACCGGCUAACUACGUG